AUUGAACGCUGGCGGCAGGCCUAACACAUGCAAGUCGAACGGUAACAGGAAACAGCUUGCUGUUUCGCUGACGAGUGACGGACGGGUGAGUAAUGUCUGGGAAACUGCCUGAUGGAGGGGGAUAACUACUGGAAACGGUAGCUAAUACCGCGUAACGUCGCAAGACCAAAGAGGGGGACCUUCGGGCCUCUUGCCAUCGGAUGUGCCCAGAUGGGAUUAGCUAGUAGGGGGGGUAACGGCUCACCUAGGCGACUAUCCCUAGCUGGUCUGAGAGGAUGACCGCCGACACUGGAACUUGGCCACCGUCCUGGCGCCUGCGGGAGGCCGCAGUGGGGAAUAUUGCACAGUGGUCGCAAGCCUGAUGCAGCCAUGCCGCGCGUAUUGAGAAGGCCUUCGGGUUGUAAAGUACGUCCAGCGGUGAGGAAGGGAGUAAAGUUAAUACCUUGACUCAUUGACGUUACCCGCAGAAGAAGCACCGGCUAACUCCGUG
rnacentral:rRNA from 1 species